rnacentral:rRNA from 1 species
CCCUUAGAUGUUCUGGGCCGCACGCGCACUACACUGAAGGGAUCAGCGUGUUUUCCCUUUCCGAGAGGAACGGGUAACCCGCUGAACCCCCUUCGUGGUAGGGAUCGGAGCUUGCAAUUGUUCUCCGUGAACCAGGAAUUCCCAGUAAGCGCAAGUCAUAAGCUUGCGUUGAUUACGUCCCUGCCCUUUGUACACACCGCCCGUCGCUACUACCGAUUGAACGUUUUAGUGAGGUAUUUGGACUGGGCCUUGGGAGGUUUCGGCCUCCCUUGUUGCUCGGAAAGACUCCCAAACUUGAGCGUUUAGAGGAAGUAAAAGUCGUAACA